GCGUCUUUGCUUUAAAAGCCAUAUAUAAAUAUGUAACAUAACGUUGCUAUGAAAUAAAGAGACGAGCAAAUAUAUUUGCGGGUUCCUGCAAGGUACAUGAAAUACUGUUGAGACCGAAUAUCUACAGAUUAGCCUUUUUCAAAUGAUUUUUACAGUUCGUUCUUAUGUUGUACUAUAACACCACUGUUCUAGGUUAGGGGAUGGUUGGGACUCCGCUAACAUGUUUAACGCCGCCACAUUACGUACAUAUGUGCC
rnacentral:lncRNA from 1 species